UUUAUAUGAGAGUUUGAUCCUGGCUCAGGAUGAACGCUGGCGGCGUGCCUAAUACAUGCAAGUCGAACGAGUUCUCGUUGAUGAUCGGUGCUUGCACCGAGAUUAGACGUAUCACUGAGUCGGA
rnacentral:rRNA from 1 species